rnacentral:rRNA from 1 species
GCCCGCACAAGCGGUGGAGCAUGUGGUUUAAUUCGAUGCAACGCGAAGAACCUUACCUGGUCUUGACAUCCACGGAAGUUUUCAGAGAUGAGAAUGUGCCUUCGGGAACCGUGAGACAGGUGCUGCAUGGCUGUCGUCAGCUCGUGUUGUGAAAUGUUGGGUUAAGUCCCGCAACGAGCGCAACCCUUAUCCUUUGUUGCCAGCGGUCCGGCCGGGAACUCAAAGGAGACUGCCAGUGAUAAACUGGAGGAAGGUGGGGAUGACGUCAAGUCAUCAUGGCCCUUACGACCAGGGCUACACACGUGCUACAAUGGCGCAUACAAAGAGAAGCGACCUCGCGAGAGCAAGCGGACCUCAUAAAGUGCGUCGUAGUCCGGAUUGGAGUCUGCAACUCGACUCCAUGAAGUCGGAAUCGCUAGUAAUCGUGGAUCAGAAUGCCACGGUGAAUACGUUCCCGGGCCUUGUACACACCGCCCGUCACACCAUGGGAGUGGGUUGCAAAAGAAGUAGGUAGCUUAACCUUCGGGAGGGCGCUUACCACUUUGUGAUUCAUGACUGGGGUGAAGUCGUAACAAGGUAACCGUAGGGGAACCUGCGGUUGGA